rnacentral:rRNA from 1 species
GACAGAGGGUGCAAACGUUGUUCGGAAUUACUGGGCGUAAAGCGUGUGUAGGCUGCUACAUAAGUCGGAUGUGAAAGCCCCGGGCUCAACCCGGGAAGUGCACUCGAUACUGCGUAGCUUGAGUCUCGGAGAGGUUGGUGGAAUUCUCGGUGUAGAGGUGAAAUUCGUAGAUAUCGAGAGGAACACCGGUGGCGAAGGCGGCCAACUGGACGAAGACUGACGCUGAGGAGCGAAAGCGUGGGGAGCAAACAGG